CUAAUAAAGAUUUUGUACAUAUAAAGAAAUCAUUGUGAUCCAAGAAGAAGUUGUGAGCAUAGGAGGGCUCUCCCAGCCUGGUGCUCCCUGGGAGCAAAGGUCUGAUAAGAGAAGUGGGUGUCUGGCAAGCACUGAUAAAACAACUUCCAAAGUCUUUCAGUUGCUAGAUAGAUGGUCCUCAGUGGGUAAUGAAAAUAACUCUUUCUGGACACUUCCUAUCAUACGGUUUAGGAUUUGAUAAUUUCAUACAAUAUGUAAUUUAUCAUUUGGUUUUCUUCUAGCAGUGACCCACAGGCCUCAUUGGAAAAAGCAGAUCUACCUCUCUCUUUUGGCUUCUUAGUUGGCUUCUUCAAGGGAUACAGAGGUCACCAAAAUAGACCUGUGUCUCUUUUGCCAAGCCCUGAAGGCCUGCUGAGAAGCGCACAGGGAGCUUUGGCAGGAGCUGGCUGCCUUUGAGCUUGAACACGUGCUGCACUUUCUUCAGGAAGAGAAAUAGAAGUGAAUGUGAAGUCACUACUUGGCAACUUGGACAAGACAUGCAGCCACCACAGCUUGGACACUUCUGUGUACUUGUUUCAUUCUCUGUGACUUCCGUCUUUUGGCUUUAUGGGCAGUGGGUGAGUACUGCCCUUGUAUAAGCAUCUGACCCACAGAUCAUGUGAGCUCUGCUGUGUUGUUUCAUAGAGACAACCACUUUUGGUGGCAGCACAUUGCUUGUUGAUACAGCUAUGACAGCCAGAAAUGUAAAGAUUUAAUGAUACCAGUUAUUAAACUGCUCCUGCAAAAUUUCCU
rnacentral:lncRNA from 1 species